rnacentral:lncRNA from 1 species
GUGAGUACCGCACAGGCAUGCCAAGGAAAGCCAUGGCACGCCUAUCUCUCCAGGCAGGAGAUGAGUCUUCCCAAGCCCUGGGAAGCAGUGACCUUCCAAGGAGGCUGAACCGUGUCCCUGUCAGCCCAAGACAGGCCACCGCGAAAGUUCCCCUCAUCUCAAGCUGGCUUCUAUGGGCAGUCCUGGAGUUUUGAGUGAAAACCCUGCAUGAUCCUCUCAGGGGACAGGCGAGGUGAACAAAGGAGGGAUGGUGACCAGCUGACCAGGACCUGAGGC